GACGGACCGUCCAAACGUUAUUCGGAAUCACUGGGCUUAAAGGGUGCGUAGGCGGUCUGGUAAGUCGGGUGUGAAAUACCUCAGCUCAACUGAGGAACUGCGCCCGAAACUGCUAGGCUUGAGGGAGACAUAGGUGAGCGGAACUUAGGGUGGAGCGGUGAAAUGCGUUGAGAUCCUAGGGAACACCAGUAGCGAAAGCGGCUCACUGGGUCUUUUCUGACGCUGAUGCACGAAAGCUAGGGGAGCGAAG
rnacentral:rRNA from 1 species